ACUAGCUGGUGCCAUGGAAGGCACGUGGGCUUUGGAGUGGAGGCCCGAGGCUUGAACGCUGGCUCUGCCCCUCCCUCUGCCCUGGGACACUUCUGAAUCUCCUCUUCCUCUUCCUCUGCCAGAGAAGAGAUAUAAUCACCGGCUUGAGAGGCCAUGAAGAUGAGCCGAAUAAGAUUGAUGAACCUGUCAGGCUGCUGGCCUGGGCGCUGAGCCCGCUCCCGCCUGAAUUCUCCCGACAGCUGCCCUGCUUCUCCACUUGGACUUGCCGGGGCUCCCGUUGGAACCAAGAAAAGCCUCUGCUCUGCUCCAGUCACACACAAAAAAAUAGCAAGAAUGAUGCAAUAUGUGUCUCUCAUGGCCACCAGCCACGGAGAAGGUCCAGGCGUCCAGAUCCCUACCCCGAAUUCACUCUAGCAUUGCAAAUCAAUGCCCUCUUGUUCCCAUGAAUCCUGGGUAACUCCCACCACUCUACCCGGCAGCAGCUCUGUCACCCCCUUAUCUUGUGACAAAGGCCACCAACCCAGCCACUGAGGCACAAAAUUGGCCGGGUGCAGAGAAAGAGUUUCUAAGUACCUAAUCCCUGUAACCUGACCUUUAAUUCUAAUAACAGUGACAUUUAUUAAAGAUUAUGUGCCUGGCA